rnacentral:lncRNA from 1 species
CACAGAAGUGCUGGCCCAUGAACUCGAAGGCUUUCAAAGAAUCUCAUGGUUGAUGUAAAAAUCUCACGAGGCAAUCCAAGGCACCCUGCAGCUCAGCCAUGGGAGUUCACCUCCAACUCUGGGAAGGUGGAGGAAGGAGGCCUGGGGGAGGGGCUCCUCUUACCCGGAGUUGCAUGGGUGGAUUUCAGGUUGACGGGGGCGGGGCUGCAUUUUUAGGUGUUUCUACUGAU